rnacentral:snRNA from 1 species
UUAUGUGAGGGCAAUCUGGCUGCGAUGUCUGUCACCCCACUGAUCGCCAGGGUUGAUUCGGCUGACCUGGCUGGCUGGGCGGUGUCCGCUUCCUCCCUCGCCGCUCCAUGUGAGUCCCUCUCGAGGCUGCGCACUCGGUCAAAGAGGACGGCCUUCCCUGAAUUGAGAUCGACCAGUUUUCAGUCGAGGGUAUACGGGUAGCUGUGCUCCCCUGCUAGAAUCUCCAAAAAAUAAAUUAUAAAGCUGUGAAAAUUCUAAUGUCACCUAGUCUAUGAUAUGUUGUCAUAGCUAUCCAAGUUGGCUAAUAUA